AUUCCAGCUCCAAUAGCGUAUAUUAAAGUUGUUGCAGUUAAAAAGCUCGUAGUUGGAUUUCGGAACCGGCCGAUUGGUCCGUCCUCUGGAUCGUGUACUGAUCGGUCUGUUCUUCUUCGCGAAGACCGCGUGUGCCCUUAACUGGGUGGGCGCGGGAUUCGCGACGUUUACUUUGAAAAAAUUAGAGUGUUCAAAGCAGGCAGUCGCUUGAACAUCUCAGCAUGGAAUAAUAGAAUAGGACCUUGGUCUUAUUUUGUUGGUUUCCGAGACCGAAGUAAUGAUUAAUAGGGACAGUUGGGGGCAUUCGUAUUUCAUUGUCAGAGGUGAAAUUCUUGGAUUUAUGAAAGACGAACUUCUGCGAAAGCAUUUGCCAAGGAUGUUUUCAUUA
rnacentral:rRNA from 1 species